CUCCGCCUCCACUCUGCCAAGUACUUAUAAAUAGCAGACCUCUGGACACGGACAGGGUGCCUUCGGCUCCGUGAGAGCACAACGCAUAAGUCUGGGGAGUUCGGAUUCGCAAAGCCAGAUGCAUGCAAAACCCAGAACAUUUGAGGGUUAUUUUUCCUUCUAAAUGACAACACGUGAAGAGAACGCACGCUGAAUUAAACAGCUCCCCAAAACACAGGAGUGUCCGGAACAGAAAUCACCCGAGUGAAUCCUAUUUGCUGACUGCAAGCACGCUGGUUGUCAUUAACCUCUUAUUCAGUCUCAAGUAUGCUGUCGGUUUGGGGUUGUUUAUUUCUUUACUUACCAGUGAGCACAUUUCAGUUAAAGACAACCGAAACGAAGCACGUUAAAGCGCGUACAGCCAGACUAUCUCUCCUCCGAACUACCUAAACAAGCACACACCACCACUUUCUCCCUAUGUCUUAAAGGCAAAGCGGAGCCGUUGAGAGUUUCCGCAGCAGAGGCUCGUUUAACCCACAACCUCCAGUAGCCCUGCGCCGCUCCCGGCUCCCGUCCUGAAACCGCGGCACACAAAACUGGGAGAAAACCAACCCAGAAUGGGUACACUGCUCCUCCGCCCGCGAUGAGCGACGGCACUUCAGGCUCCCGACACGGCCCCACCUCCGAGGUUCCACUCUGUGGUUCUUUUGUGCCUCCUCUGCUGAGGGAUGCAGCAAAAGCACCUGAGUAGCAGCUUCUGAUGAGACAUGAUGAAACAUGAGCAUCUGCAGUAGCCACCAUGGUCAGGGGGAAAUAUUCAAUUAGGAAACCCCUAUGGAGCAGAGGGGGAACCCAGCAGGUGAGGAGUCAAAAUCUCUGCAAUCAGCACUGAUAAAAAAGGCUGUUAUUUUGACAAAUGGGAUAAAAAUAA